rnacentral:rRNA from 1 species
UACGGAGGGGACUAGCGUUGUUCGGAAUUACUGGGCGAAAGCGCACGUAGGCGGAUUGUUAAGUCAGGGGGUGAAAUCCCGAGGCUCAACCUCGGAACUGCCUUUGAUACUGGCAAUCUCGAGUCCGGAAGAGGUGAGUGGAAUUCCUAGUGUAGAGGUGAAAUUUCGUAGAUAUUAGGAAGAACACCAGUGGCGAAGGCGGCUCACUGGUCCGGUUACUGACGCUGAGGUGCGAA